UUUAAGCUUCAAAAUAUUUUCCUCUCAUUUAGCUUGACUUGAAUCCAACUUGGCAGGCUUACUCUCUUUUACUCCAAAUAAGGCAGUUUUAGGGGGAUUUUCUCCAAAUUGUCCUUUUAUAUCAUUUUCUACAAAAUAAUAUUAAAAGCAAUAAAUUAAGCAGAAAUCGUGUAAAUAUUCAUUAAUAAUAUUAAUAUAAAAUGGACUAAAUU
rnacentral:lncRNA from 1 species